rnacentral:rRNA from 1 species
UACGAAGGGGGCUAGCGUUGUUCGGAAUCACUGGGCGUAAAGCGCACGUAGGCGGACUGUUAAGUCAGGGGUGAAAUCCUGGGGCUCAACCCCAGAACUGCCUUUGAUACUGGCGGUCUUGAGUGUGGAAGAGGUUGGUGGAACUCCGAGUGUAGAGGUGAAAUUCGUAGAUAUUCGGAAGAACACCAGUGGCGAAGGCGGCCAACUGGUCCACUACUGACGCUGAGGUGCGAAAGCGUGGGGAGCAAACAGG